GCUGGGAGCGGUGGUGCGUGCCUGUAGUCCCAGCUACUUGGGAGACUGAGGCUGGAGGAUCGCUUGAUUCCAGGAGUUCUGGGCUGUAGUGCACUACUGUAUGCUGAUCGGGUGUCCGCACUAAGUUCGGCUUCAGUAUGGUGACCUCCCAGGAGCAGGGGACCAUCAGUUUGCCUAAGGAGGGGUGAACCGGCCCAGGUCCGAAAUGGAGCAGGUCAAAACUCCUGUGCUAAUCAGCAGCGGGAUCGCACCUGUGAAUAGCCACUGCACUCCAGCCUGGGCAACAUAGUGAGACCCCGUUUCU
rnacentral:SRP_RNA from 1 species